rnacentral:rRNA from 1 species
GACGAACGCUGGCGGCGUGCUUAACACAUGCAAGUCGAACGGUGAACGAGGGAGCUUGCUCCCUCCGGAUCAGUGGCGAACGGGUGAGUAACACGUGAGCAAUCUGCCCCGAACUCUGGGAUAAGCGUUGGAAACGACGUCUAAUACCGGAUACGACGCGGGAGGGCAUCCUCUCCGCGUGGAAAGAACUUCGGUUCGGGAUGAGCUCGCGGCCUAUCAGCUUGUUGGUGAGGUAACGGCUCACCAAGGCGACGACGGGUAGCCGGCCUGAGAGGGUGACCGGCCACACUGGGACUGAGACACGGCCCAGACUCCUACGGGAGGCAGCAGUGGGGAAUAUGGCACAAUGGGCGCAAGCCUGAUGCAGCAACGCCGCGUGAGGGACGACGGCCUUCGGGUUGUAAACCUCUUUUAGCAGGGAAGAAGCGGAAGUGACGGUACCUGCAGAAAAAGCACCGGCUAACUACGUG